ACCCUUCUGAAAAGCACUUGUUGGGUCUGUGUUCAGUGGCUCAGUGAGUUGUCGUGGAAGGGCACAGCAAAGACAUCGCUCUUGGGUGAAGUAGCAGCCUGUGCUGUUUAUUUCAAUCAGUGAUGUGACAUUG
rnacentral:snoRNA from 1 species